GUGGCAGCGACGACCCAUUCAAAAAUCUGCCUUAUCAACUUUCGAUGGUAGUUGCUGUGCCUACCACGGUGACCAUGGGUGAUGGGGAAUCAGGAACGAAAGUCGGAGUUUCGAAGACGAUCAGAUACCGUCGUUGUUCCGACCAUAAACGAUGCCAACUGGUGAUGCAGCGGUGUUAUUUCCAUGACCCGCUGGGCAGCUUCCCAGAAACCAAAGUCUUUGGGUUUUUGGGUUCCCAGGCGAGUAUGGUUGCAAAGCUGAAACUUAAAGGAAUUGGUGGAAGGGCACCACCAGGAGUGGAGCCUGCAGCUUAAUUUGACUCAAUAUGGGAAACCUCACCCGGCCCGGACAUGGACAGGAUUGACAGAUUGAUAGGUCUUUCUUGAUUCCAUGGGUGGUGGUGCAUGGCCUUAGUUGGUGGAGUGAUUUGUCUGGUUAAUUCCGAUAAUGAAGGAGACUCUGGCAUGCUAACUAGUUACGCGACCCCCAAGCGGUCAGCAUCCCCCAACUUCUUAGAGGGAUAAGUGGCAUUUAGCCACCCGAGAUUGAGAAAUAACACGUCUGUGAUGCCCUUAGAUGUCUGGGGCUGCACGCACGCUACAGUGACUGGCUCAGCGUGUGCCUACCCUACGUGGCAGACGCGGGUAACCUGUUGAACACCAUUGGUGAUGGUGAUCGGGGAUUGCAAUUAUUCCCCAUGAAUGACGAAUUCCCAGUAAGUGUGGGUCAUAGGCUUGCGUGAAGUCCCUACCCUUUGUACACACUGCCAGUCGCUACUACUGAUUGGAUGGUUUAGUGAGGCCCUUGGAUCGGCCCCGCCGGGUCAGCCCACUGCCCUGGUGGAGCACUGAGAAGACAGUCGAACUUGACUAUCUAGAGGAAGUAAAAGUCAUAACAAAAUUUCCAUAGUUGAACCUGUCGAGGGAUCAUUAACGGAGAAGAGCAAAGCUGCAGAGGCGCUACUGCGUCCUUCCUUCUUGGCCGACUGUGUUCCCCAUGCGGCACGUGUGCUGGCGGGGUUGUGCCAUUUGUUUGUUGCAUGGCCCCGCCUGCCCCGAGAGCCAGAGAACUCGGGAGGGAGAGAGAGGGUAGAGAGAGACACACGUGCGGGGAUGAA
rnacentral:lncRNA from 1 species